UACGUAGGGUGCGAGCGUUAAUCGGAAUUACUGGGCGUAAAGUGUGCGCAGGCGGCCGCGCAGGUCGAGUGUGAAAGCCCCGGGCUUAACUUGGGAAUUGCGCUCGAAACUACGUGGCUGGAGUGUGGCAGAGGAAGGUGGAAUUCCAGGUGUAGCGGUGAAAUGCGUAGAGAUCUGGAGGAACACCGAUGGCGAAGGCAGCCUUCUGGGCCAACACUGACGCUCAUGCACGAAAGCGUGGGGAGCAAACAGG
rnacentral:rRNA from 1 species